GGCGGGGUAGCUCAGAUGGUCAGAGCGCACGACUCAUAAUCGUGAGGUCGCGGGUUCAAUCCCCGCCUCCGCUA
rnacentral:tRNA from 1 species